CAUCACCAAUGAAGAAUAGGCCUUCAUCAGACAUCCAAUCUGCAGGCCUCUUGAUCUUGGACUUCCUAAUCUACAGAAUUGUGUGUUCCUGGUGAUAUGUGGUCAUAAACCCUUCAGACAGCAAUGUGUUGAAAAAGAAGAAGAAAGAAAGCUUUAUUAAAAAUUUUCUCACUGAUAUUCCAUUUCUUAAG